CUAUUAUGUUUAGAAUACUGGACGUAAACUUGGGAAGUGAUGAUCCUUCCUCUCAAGGACACACAGAACAAAGUAGCGUAAACAAACCGGCAGAGAGCGUGUUGAGUCUGUUUGAAUAGUCAGCCAGUGAGCCGGCUGAAGAGAAUGUGAUGGUUAUGAGAGAAGAUACACCGUCUGAAGUGCUUGCGAUAGUUCCGAUUCAAGUGUGUCUACCACUGUCCCAAACAACCACUACACCUGAGACAGAAAAUGAAGCAACCCCUCUGCUACAAAUUGAAGGAACUACAAAAAGGUAAGAUAUAGUGUUGGGUGUAUAUUUUGUUACAGUUUGGGUGUAUAUUGCUCGUGUUGGGGUGUAUAUUUUGAUGAUUGAUCCAGGACUAGU